UCCCUGAGGACGCAGGUUCGAUCGCUGGCCUCGCUCAGUGGGUUAAGGAUCCGCCGUUGCCGUGAGCUGAGGUGGAGGUUGCAGACGCGGCUCGGAUCCCUCAUUGCUGUGGCUGUGGUGUAGGCCGGCGGCUACAGCUCCAGUUGGACCCCUCACCUGGGACCCUCCGUAUGCCUUGGGUGCGGCCUUAAAAAGCAAAACAAAAAAAUGUGGCGUAUAUUAAGUAUAUCAAGGCCCUGCUGUGUUGUCAACCUUUUACGCUGAUCUGAUCUAAUCCUCAAAACAAGUCUAAGAGGGAAAAGCUUCUGUCACCCUGCUUCAUGGAGGAGGAAAUGAAGGAGGCCGGAGCCGAGACUUCUUGCUCUGUUCCCGGACGUGCUGCACUGGCUCCUCCCUCUGCCGCCUCCGUGCUGUCUAGACGUCACACAGGCUGUUCCCUCACCCUGGGUUCUUCCCUGUCCUCUUGGCCACCUGCUCGUUUUCUCCAGGUCUCAGCCUAAAUGUCACUUCCUUGGGAACAGUGACUUUCUGGAAGCCCCGGAAAGGCCUUCACAUGUUAUCUCGUGAUCCCACGUAGUUGACGGUGCCGUUAAGAAGAAACAUUUAUUCAUGUCUCUUGGCCGUUGUGGGAGCUCUGGGAGGAGGGCACGCAAAGCUUCACAUGUGCCAGCUCUCCAGGAUGGUGCGACGAGUAGACUGAGUAGCAGUAAAUACUUUUUACUCCCGUGAACCGGUUUUUUGGCGCUUUAACUUUACUCUGGCACGAGGACCAGCCCGAUAGCCGGGACGUCCGAGGUAACGUUCCCUCUUAGGAAGCAAGCAAGCAUGUCCACGUGAGGCCUGAGAGGAGGUCCGUUCGCCCAGCUGACGUGCUGAUCACAGAGCCCUGGCGAGGCGGGGGGACCGGGUGCCUCCCUGCCAGGUGCGCCAAGGCCUCUCCCCCUCAGUGGGAGGCGGGAGAGACUGGCCAGCGCCCGGAUGGUCCCAGGCAGUGACGGCGGGUCGGGACUGGCGUCCAUGAUCUGGUGGCUUCGGGAAGAGGCUUUGAGCGCUUUCUUUUGUGACUAUGACGUAAGUGUAACUUAACUCAGAUACUAAAAGGAGAGCCGUUGGGGGGGGGGGACGAAUUUGGGAACCAUUGGAUCAAAUCGUAGUCAUUGUUUUAAUCUUUUCAUUUGCUGCUUCUGUCCCUCUUGGAGCUGUUUCCUGUGUGUCUGAAUUUCUUUCAGGUCAUCGAAGUUUCUGGACUUUGUAGCACCUGGUUCAUUUUAUCUUAGGUUACACUUUGAUCAUUUGUCUCUCGUAAGUUGCUACCAAUAAACUGUUACCUUU
rnacentral:lncRNA from 1 species